rnacentral:rRNA from 1 species
AACGAACGCUGGCGGCAGGCCUAACACAUGCAAGUCGAGCGAAGCCUUCGGGCUUAGCGGCGGACGGGUGAGUAACGCGUGGGAACGUGCCCUUUGCUACGGAAUAGCCCCAGGAAACUGGGAGUAAUACCGUAUGUGCCCUUCGGGGGAAAGAUUUAUCGGCAAAGGAUCGGCCCGCGUUGGAUUAGGUAGUUGGUGGGGUAAUGGCCUACCAAGCCGACGAUCCAUAGCUGGUUUGAGAGGAUGAUCAGCCACACUGGGACUGAGACACGGCCCAGACUCCUACGGGAGGCAGCAGUGGGGAAUCUUAGACAAUGGGGAAACCCUGAUCUAGCCAUGCCGCGUGAUCGAUGAAGGCCUUAGGGUUGUAAAGAUCUUUCAGUGGGGAAGAUAAUGACUGUACCCACAGAAGAAGCCCCGGCUAACUCCGCGCCAGCCGCCGCGGUAAGAC